GAUGAAGAACGCAGCGAAAUGCGAUAAGUAAUGUGAAUUGCAGAAUUCAGUGAAUCAUCGAAUCUUUGAACGCACAUUGCGCCCGCCAGCAUUCUGGCGGGCAUGCCUGUUCGAGCGUCAUUUCAACCCUCGCAGCCCAUCUGGGCAGCGGUGUUGGGGACCGGCACCACCGGCGAAGCCCUUAGGGGCCCAGCCGGCGCCGCCCCCGAAAUACAGUGGCGGUCUCGCUGCAGCCUCCCUUGCGUAGUAGCACACCUCGCACCGGAGCGCAGCGCGGCCACGCCGUAAAACCCCCGACUUUCUGAGUUUGACCUCGAAUCAGGUAGGAAUACCCGCUGAACUUAAGCAUAUCAAUAAGCGGAGGA
rnacentral:misc_RNA from 1 species